GUAAAUAAUCGUGCAGGGGGAGGCGGGGGAAGGGGUGAAUUCAGCAAUGUUAAAAGCUAAACAACAGAUCUAUCUCCGGACGCUGCUGCUUCACUCAAUUGCAACUAAUAACCCAUUAAAGACAGCGCAGGGGGAACCGAAUUCUCUCCUGCAAAGCGACAUAAAUCCAGCGAAAACCCAUUAAACCGCCGCCACCGCCACCAAGCCACGCAGCACUACACACCACAGCAAACAACAGGUAUACAACACAAUAGGGCUGGUUUUCCUGGUUACCUCCUCGGGAUCCAGUGUGGCACAAAGCACUGGUGAAGGCGAUGGUUACUGCUGUCAAUCUUGGCAAUCAAUGUGAGCGGCCAUGUCGUAAGUAUUCAAAGCAUUUCCCGUCGUGCAACAUCAGAAAGUGAGUGGCCAGGGCAUUGAUCUGAGGAAGGCAAAAGGAGGCAGGGCUCCCCCGCCCAGACAGCACAGGCAAGAUGAGACAACACAGGGAGAGAGAGGAGGGAGAGGGGAAGGGAGGGAGAGACACACACAGAGAGAGAGAGAGAGAGAGGCUGGGAGCGAGCGGGGAGAGCAACAACUGCGGAGAAAGUGAGCACAAAACAGAAAGUGAAAUCGGCGCGGGCUGCCAGCCGCAUCCCCGCGCAGCUAUCACCACUCACAGGGCCAUUAGACACAUGAAACCCUACACCGCUCCGCUCCGCUAAUGACCACUGAUUGCCCGGAGUGGUGAGGAAAGUGAACACCCGCCGUGCGGAUCCGUACACACGUGCCGAGAGACAAGAAAGCGCUUUCACUCGGAGUGUUACCCCACGUUCAGAAACCGCGUUUGGAAUUACUGCCCUUGCUUUGGCUUGGUGAUGGCUGGAGGCAGAUGCUGAGGAGGGAUGCUGAGCUGCUGGGGGUCCCUGCUCAGCGAAGGGACCGCAGGCGCUCACACCACGUCGGGGCACUUACCUGUGCACAGCUGUCAUGGCAUUUUGCGCCGUGUGUCUCACUAAUUGCGUUAAAGUAAAGCAAUAUUCAACAAGCGAGGCAACCUGUCUGUGUGCUGAGUUGUACGUACCGCAUCUUUAACCUGAGCAGCGAACCUGCAACUCCUGGAGAGUUGGCGGAACAGUCUCAAAAGUUUUGGAUUCAAAGGGCAAGAAAUUUCACUUUAAAAGUCAUUCACUCACUUCUAAACUGCCCUCUCACCCCACUUAAUGCCGGACAAUUAAGAGGCAUGUUUAUAAAUUCCCUCUGCGGACACUGUCCGACAAUGAAGACUUGUUAUAGGCUUGCUAAGGAUGUUCAGAGAAACUUUUGCGAAAUAAUCAACAGCAUCUGAGAGAAAGCUGAAGGUAAAGAAGUCAAAGCCUGAUAAUCCGACUGGAAAAAAGUUUUGUUAGACUAGAUAGAAGUAAAAUACUGCACGUUUCUUCAAAAGCAAACCCAUCAGCUGAUACGAGUUCUCCUAGAACAAGAACCUCUGGCGAACUCCUCCAAAUUUAGGGGACGGUUGCAUUUUGCAACACUCAAAGCUAAAGAUCUGCCUGAAAACAGAAAUUCUGAAUUCCUUACAGCGUCAUCUGCCAACAAAAUGUAUUGUCUUGGGAGAAAGAGUAUCAAGGAGAUUUUAAUUUCAUUUUAAACUGUGCAUCAUCUUGAUAGCGAAGGAAAAAGCUGCAGCAACAAUCUCCCCGCUCCACGCCCCCGCCGAUCAAAAAAAAAAAAAAAAAAAAAAAAAAAAAAAAAAAAAGGGGGGGGGAAGAGAGAACUGGAAAAACCACAUAAACUUUUACAAAGAAAAUAAAAGCAAGUUCGACAUGAAAACCCCUUCCUGUCUCGGAAAGUUCAUUUUAAAGGUCCCCUCUGUAAAUCUAAAGUGCAAACACCAGGCUAAGGUAGUGAGUGGCUGGAAUUUGCAUGCUGAUAAGAGAAGGCUGUUGUACUUACAGUGACAGAGGGCAGGCUGCGGAAGAAAAGCUGUUUGUGUUAGCCUGAGAGUCACCCAGGGCUGCAAUGAGAGGAGAAGAGAGGAGUGGGAGUGCCAAGCUGGAUACACCUUCACCGCAUCUCAUCACAUCUGCCAGCCUCUCUCUCCCUCUCUCUUUCAUUUCCACAUUCCCUUUGUUCCUGAAAAAAAAAAUCUACACGUCACAUCAGUCCCCAGAUGCAGUCUACACCAAAGAAAAAAAAAAUGAAUAAUUCAAUCAAACUGUGCAUAGUCUCUAAGGCAAUAAAUCUAUUGCACUUAAAGAAACGAAGGGUAAUUACCGCUAUAGAAUUAGAAUAAGGCCGGAGCGCGCAGGGAUCUCAGGGUCUGUAAACUCCACGGUCAAAUAAAGUUUCAUUUAUUUAAUCCUUUGACAACCCCAAUGUAAACUAAAGGGGAGGAUCAGAACUUAUUCCGGUUGGGUUUGAGAACGCUUGAAGUGAAUGUUAUGAAAGGAGAGCGCCCGUGGUCUGUGACAAACACAAUGCAAGGGAGUAGAAGUGUUUCACUGCAUCACCUCCAGGGUCCGUUCCCCCCUCCCUAAUGAAGAGCAGACCACACUCCCACUUCCACCGGCUCCUGCUGCUCGCUGCAAGUGCAGCGGGGAUCGCUGGCAGCCAGCAGCCGCCUUAC